rnacentral:rRNA from 1 species
GACGAACGCUGGUGGCGUGCUUAACACAUGCAAGUCGAACGGUAAGGCCCUUCGGGGUACACGAGUGGCGAACGGGUGAGUAACACGUGGGUGAUCUGCCCUGCACUUCGGGAUAAGCCUGGGAAACUGGGUCUAAUACCGGAUAGGACCACUGCCUGCAUGGGUGGUGGUGGAAAGCUUUUGCGGUGUGGGAUGGGCCCGCGGCCUAUCAGCUUGUUGGUGGGGUGAUGGCCUACCAAGGCGACGACGGGUAGCCGGCCUGAGAGGGUGACCGGCCACACUGGGACUGAGAUACGGCCCAGCCUCCUACGGGAGGCAGCAGUGGGGAAUAUUGCACAAUGGGCGCAAGCCUGAUGCAGCGACGCCGCGUGAGGGAUGACGGCCUUCGGGUUGUAAACCUCUUUCAGCACCGACGAAGCGCAAGUGACGGUAGGUGCAGAAGAAGGACCGGCCAACUACGUGCCAGCAGCCGCCGUAA